CCUACGGGUGGCAGCAGUGGGGAAUAUUGCGCAAUGGCGGGAACUCUGACGCAGCAACGCCGCGUGAAGGAUGAAGGUUUUCGGAUUGUAAACUUCUUUGAUCGGGGACGAAAUUGACGGUACCCGAGGAACAAGCCACGGCUAACUACGUGCCAGCAGCCGCGGUAAUACGUAGGUGGCAAGCGUUGUCCGGAAUUACUGGGUGUAAAGGGCGUGUAGGCGGGAAGGCAAGUCAGAUGUGAAAGCCCAUGGCUUAACUGUGGAAUUGCAUCUGAAACUGUUUUUCUUGAGUGCUGGAGAGGAAAGUGGAAUUCCUAGUGUAGCGGUGAAAUGCGUAGAGAUUAGGAGGAACACCAGUGGCGAAGGCGGCUUCCUGGAUUGCACCUGACGCUGAGGCGCGAAAGCUGGGGGAGCGAACGGGAUUAGAUACCCUUGUAGUCAC
rnacentral:rRNA from 1 species